rnacentral:rRNA from 1 species
CGAGGUCCGAAAGGAGAGGUCGGGAUAUUUAUGGGGCGAGAGUAGAGGGGUUUCUCGUUCGCUCGAUUCGAUCAAGUACAUUCGAAGAAGGAGAGGUGGAUGUUUCGUCCUCGAGUCAGAGUCCACGACCCUAUCGAGACUAUCAAGCAGAACCUUUUACCGGUGGUUGAGCUCCAGCUUGAGGUCCCGCUGGAAGAGGUCGCUCUAGGUGCUGUAGCCGUGCCACGUCUUGAGGUGGUGCGGGUCGUACCACAUGAUGUGGCUCGCCAGGUAGCGGCUGAUGAAGGGAGGAGUGGAGGAGUUCUUCCACCACAGCCUCCACCACAGCUGCAAGGACGACCACAAGCACUGCACGCCCCGCCGCCGCUAGUCGCGGGUGCUGCACUGCGCGUAUAGCGUCGAGCCGGUCAGCCAGCGGCCGCCCGAGUAGCAGCAGCACUACUAGAUACGGCAGCCGGUGUAGAGACCGCGCGUGUACUUGGGGCGGCAGUGGGAGCGGAAGCGGUAGAAGGCGGUAAAGGGGACCUAAGUCCAGGGCAAGAUGACCCGCCGCGUCAAGUGCCCGCGCUAGACGCGCAGGAAGCACGAGUUCCGCCACGAGGUGGGGUAGUGGCACUAGCCGUGGUGGCUCGGCCAGCCCGGCGUGACCGUGCGCGACCAGUAGCUCCAGCAGCAGUGGAAGUUGUACUACAAGCAGUGGGAGCGGCAGCGGUGCCUGUGAUCUCGCCACCCACUCAACCGACCCAACCGACAGCCAAGGAGGCAAACGUAAUGGAGGUAGAAGCGUCCCCGCCACAGUCCACCUAGCUACUUGGGCCGCUCCUGCGACCCGGGCCGCGACCGGUCGUUGGCGAUGGGGCCGGAGACCGAGAUGAAGGACCCGGGGCAGGAGCCGUGCGAGAGGCCCCGGACCUGGAUGUGGAUGUAGGCGAAGCUCCUCGGCGGGUUCCUGCCCGGGGUCUUCGAGAGGAGGAAGUUCGAGGCCGCCGACGUCUCGGUCAGGCACCGGCGGCUGCUGCUGCUCGAGCUGGUGUAGGGGCAGACUAGGACGGCGGCGGCCUGGCCUACCUAGAGGGUGAGGGUCACACACAGGAACCAUCAACAAUACACACACGCCCGCACACAGUGAACAUUGAGUCACCAACCAACCAGCUACGUACGUCCCCUCAUGCGCGCACGCGCGUACACAUACAAACAAGCGGGCGCGUACAGCGUCAUCUAAACGAGGGAGCGAGACAAGUACACACGUUCGCUGACUCGAACCCCAGGACUAAAACCCCCGCAUAGUCAGGCGUGAGACGUCAGCGUGCGCACGGUUUCACAUAGAGAGGACGUUAACGUCAUGUAUUUUGAGGGCACCGAAACGAAGAGCUUUCUUGUACACAACUGCAAGGGUGA